rnacentral:snRNA from 1 species
UACAGAGAAGAUUAGCAUGACCCCUGCGCAAGGAUGAAACACAAAUUCAUAAAGCAUUCCAUAUUUUA